UGAGCUGCAUAGGGUGAGCACUCCUAGAAAGGGAGAGGAGGCUGGUCAGAGGACUUGACAUCCAAGAACUUUAAUGAGUGUGUGUGUGUGUGUGUGAGGAAGAAGUAUCGAGGAAAAAAAUCAAGAGAAAGCAAAAAUCAUGGAGUUUAAUCAAAAAGGUCAAAAAGACAUAAAAGCAACGAAAACUAAAGGAAGAAGAUAGACAGAGGGCAAUCACUCACAGCAGAGGUCAGAAUGAGGGGCUAUCCUUGUGCCAGUGGUCUGUCUGCACGCCCAGAAUUUCCUUCUCUGAAAGCCUAUCUAGAUGUUUUCCUUCCUUUUCAUAAACUGGCA